AUUAACGCUCCUGAGAUUUACCAUCGACAGCUUUCGCUCUCGAACUCAUGCAUACUCAUAUAUAUCCAUAUACAUACAAGUCUACAGAGGUGAGAUACACAAACAACCUGGUACAAAGCUCAAGAAAAAUAUCAAGUCGACAGUGUUCAGUGUAAUCAAGAUAAGUAACCGAGUGUCUCCAGAUUCAAAAGAUCCAUCUCUCUUCUUAAUACUUAAUACCGAGGGCAGGAUUUUAGUGGACAUCGUCAAAUGUGUCAUGACAUUUAUAUAAAUCUACAGGAGGUCUUGAUACUUAUGUACCGUAUACUUAUAAUAUAAGCCCGAACAAGAUUUUUCAGCAAUUAAAAGUAUUGACAACAGGGUGUGUAAUUUCCUGGGCUUCAAAAUUAAUACUUGAAACGUCGCCCAAAAGUGUCUUGGUCGUGUGGUACACGGCAUCAACGUUAAGAGGAACCAGGCCCCCCAUCGACGGUCGAACUGCAAUCCAUAAGCCUGCAAGACACACCCGUAAUCGCUGUUAUUUUAUCGUAAACGG